UCCGAGUUGACCCCGGCAGUCUCCCACGAGUCCCCGCCAUUACGCGCUGGCAACAUAGGAUAAGGGUUGCGCUCGUUGCGGGACUUAACCCAACAUCUCACGACACGAGCUGACGACAGCCAUGCAGCACCUGUGGUGCACCCUCGAAGGUCACACGUUUCCGUGCGCUUGCAGCGCCAUGUCAAGUCCAGGUAAGGUUCUUCGCGUUGCGUCGAAUUAAACCACAUGCUCCGCUGCUUGUGCGGGUCCCCGUCAAUUCCUUUGAGUUUUAGCCUUGCGGCCGUACUCCCCAGGCGGAACACUUAUCGCGUUGGCUGCGGCACAGAGGGAUUCGACUCCCCCCACACCUAGUGUUCAUCGUUUACGGCGUGGACUAC
rnacentral:misc_RNA from 1 species